CGAAGGGACGCUGUGGUGAUGAAGGCGGUUGGAUCCGAAAGCCACCGGGUGGCGACAUUUUGUCCGUGGAGUGCUUCAUCAACACGAACAUGCUAAGACCUGUCUUUGAAUACGUGAAAUGUCAUUCGAAAAGAAGACGUCACGUGCGGAAAAGGAAGAUGGAACACCGGCGGUGUUAGCGUUGCAAAAGGGUGGCCAUGCAGUUCAUGAUCUGGAUGCCGCCCUGGGGUGUGCUGUCUGGAUCUGGAGAAAAGAAAAGGAAAACAUAAAUUUCUGUGUUUUUGGAGUGGACAUGUGGGGAGUGGUGUGAACAAACCUCCCUUGGAGACAAACUGCGAGGCCACGCCCACUUCAAAGGAGGCGAAUACUGUGUUGAGUCAAGUCUAGCUGGACGUGCAAGGAUCAUUUGAAGCGCUGGUUCCUGCUCUGCACUGGCCUCCUCUCUUGCAUGUACAUGUUGACGUAGGAGGUGAUGAGGUCAUCCAUCUUGUAGCCCUUUUGGAAAUAGACCACACAGCACGUGAAUCAGAUGAGAUGGACUCGUACAAUGCAAAAGAUCCCCAAAAGUCCCCAAACCUGAUGACACAGCACUGGCUCCUGCGGUUGCGGCGCAUUUUGAAAAAGCAGCUGUCGGCGAUGGCGAAGACGUGCGGCGGUAGCUCGCCCAGCCGCCGGUCGGUGUACUGGUGCACGUGAUCGGCCGUGUAGAGCGGAAGCAGCUGGUAGGGGUUCACCGCCACCAGGAUGGAGCCCGUGUACGUCUGAAAGCACACGCGAUGUCGCUUUGAGCCUUCAGGGCCACCGUACUGCGAGAGGUCGAUCGGUCGACAUGGAGACGAGUCAUAAAAACACCAAGACGGAGGGGGGAGCAAAGUCCAGAGCGGAGAAGAAAGAACAUCCAGCAGGGCGAUUAUGGCCCACCGUAAAAGCUGGGCGGGACGGACUCACGUAGAUGACGCCGUCUUUGUGUCGCAUCAGGAGGUUCCUGAGGAGACCGGCCUCAUUCAGGUCCCCGAGCCGGAUCAUGUCGUCGACGCCGUGCACCGAGGUGGGGUGCAUGGGCCGGAGCCCGCCCUCGACAGACGUCCAAAGUUUGGGAUCAUUUACUCGAAACCAGUACACAACUGCACAUGUACGAUAAACUCUUCCGCAUUCCCAAGCCAGCCGAGAGACAUAGUCUCUCCAUCGUGUCCUGGGGCGUCUUCGGGGUCUCUUUCUGGGAGACAUGCCCAGAACACCUCACCAGGGAGGCGUCCGAAUCAGAUGCCCUAGCCUCCUCAUCUGGCUCCUCUCAAUGCGGAGGAGCAGCGGCUCGACACCGAGCCCCUCCCGGAUGAACCCUACCAACCUCUUUGAGUUAGAACAAAUUGUAAUGCCUCCACUUUAGUGAACAGACGCGAAUCCGACGUCACUCGACAGUCCAGUCCCCGCCUUUCAAAGCCACAGAUACUACAGUGGCUUGUGAAGAAUUGGGAGGACUUUUUUACUCAUCUACAGAGAGAGAGAAAAAAAAAAAGAAAACGUGCGCAGUAUGAGUCAUCAUCAAGCUUAUUGCUCUGACAACAUGUAGGCCGAAGGUAAAUGGAUCAGCAUAUAGAGCUCGUGCACGUGACGUCACCAUUUUCACGGCAGACAUGGAACCUGAGGAGAAUAUUCACAAUACCCGAGACCUACCGUGCUGUUGGUUGUCACAAAAGACGAGACAGAUAUUCAAAGCGGUCAUUCUAUGGAACACCAGCUGAAAAGACCAGAAAAUAUCGCUGGACUUCGGCAAUUAGGCAUGAUGGAUGGUGCCCAACCAAAAUACACACACGCCUGUGGAGUGAUCACUUCACUUCAGGUGCUGCUGAGGUGGCUGCGUUGCGUCCGCGCCCGAUGGGCUGACCCCGCUGUGUGGCGAUUGUGAUGCGGGCCGAGGAUGUGGGAGGGAACCGGAGUGCCCGGAGAAAACCCACGCAGGCACAGGGGAGGACAUGAAAAUUCCACACAGCCGGGCCCGGGAUCGAACCCGGGUCCUCAGAACCGUGCCGCCACAAUUUGGCGUUGAGGCGUUUGGCGAUGCUGGCGGCGAUGCUGUCCCCCAUGCCGAGGAUGUGCGUGUCCAGCUUGUGCAGAAGCUCCUUGGAGUGAAGCCUCUCCUCGUCCAGGAAGCGAGAC